UCGGGAAUUUUGGGCAAUGGGGGAAACCCUGACCCAGCAACGCCGCGUGAAGGAUGAAGUAUUUCGGUAUGUAAACUUCGAAAGAAUAGGAAGAAUAAAUGACGGUACUAUUUAUAAGGUCCGGCUAACUACGUGCCAGCAGCCGCGGUAAUACGUAGGGACCAAGCGUUGUUCGGAUUUACUGGGCGUAAAGGGCGCGUAGGCGGCAUGACAAGUCACUUGUGAAAUCUCUGGGCUUAACCCAGAACGGCCAAGUGAUACUGUCGCGCUAGAGUGCAGAAGGGGCAAUCGGAAUUCUUGGUGUAGCGGUGAAAUGCGUAGAUAUCAAGAGGAACACCGGUGGUGUAGACGGCUCUCUGGACCGCAACUGACGCUGAGACACGAAAGCGUGGGUAGCAAACAGGAUUAGAUACCCUCGUAGUCCCUGAGCGGGCUGGCAAGGCGCAU
rnacentral:rRNA from 1 species